rnacentral:rRNA from 1 species
ACACAGGGCCAAAUCACCCUGUGGCCCAAGACCAGUUACUCACUGAAUUUAAGCAGGGCUGAGCCUGGUCAGUACCUGGAUGGGUGACCACAUGGGAAAACUAGGUUGCUGUUGGAG